UGAAUACGAGACGCUAAGGCGUCGAAGUAGUGUAUGUCAUACUUCCAAGAAAAGCUUGCACUGUCAUAGAUAAAAAACGCCUGUACCAUAACCGACACAGGUGGGUAGGUAGAGUAUACUAAGGGGCGCGAGAUAACUCUCUCUAAGGAACUCGGCAAAAUAACUCCGUAACUUCGGGAGAAGGAGUGCCUUAUUCGUAAGGUUGCAAUAACAAGAUCCAAGCAACUGUUUAUCAAAAACACAGGUCUCCGCUAAGUCGUAAGACGAUGUAUGGGGGCUGACGCCUGCCCAGUGCCAGAAGGUUAAAGAAGUUGGUUAGCAUUUGCGAAGCUAGUGACUGAAGCCCUGGUGAACGGCGGCCGUAACAAUAACGGUCCUAAGGUAGCGAAAUUCCUUGUCGGGUAAGUUCCGACCCGCACGAAAGGCGUAAUGAUUUGGAUACUGUCUCGGAGAGGGGCUCGGUGAAAUAGACUUGUCUGUGAAGAUGCGGACUACCUGCACCAGGACAGAAAGACCCUAUGAAGCUUUACUGUAACUUGAAAUUGAAAUUGGACUUUAUUCGCGCAGUAUAGGUGGGAGGCGUUGAUUAUAAUCUUGCGGGAUUAUUGGAGCCAUCAGUGAGAUACCACUCUUGUAAUGUUAGAUUUCUAACUUUGAAUCAUUAUCUGGUCAAAGGACAGUUUCAGGCGGGCAGUUUGACUGGGGCGGUCGCCUCCCAAACGGUAACGGAGGCGUACAAAGGUUUCCUCUGAACGGUUAGAAAUCGUAUCUAGAGUGUAAAGGCAUAAGGAAGCUUGACUGUGAGACCUACAAGUCGAGCAGGGACGAAAGUCGGUCUUAGUGAUCUGACGGUACUGAGUGGAAAGGCCGUCACUCAACGGAUAAAAGUUACUCUAAGGAUAACAGGCUGAUCUCCCCCAAGAGUUCACAUCGACGGGGAGGUUUGGCACCUCGAUGUCGGCUCAUCGCAUCCUGGGGCGGUAGUACGUCCCAAGGGUUGGGCUGUUCGCCCAUGAAAGCGGUACGCGAGCUGGGUUCAGAACGUCGUGAGACAGUUCGGUCCAUAUCCGGUGUAGGCGUUAGAAUAUUGAGAGGAGCCUUCUUUAGUACGAGAGGACCGAGAAGGACAUACCUCUGGUGUACCAGUUAUCGUGCCAACGGUAAACGCUGGGUAGCUAUGUAUGGAGUGGAUAACCGCUGAAAGCAUCUGAGUGGGAAGCCCACCUCAAGAUAAGUAUUCUCAUC
rnacentral:rRNA from 1 species